GAAGUGCGAUAAGUAAUGUGAAUUGCAGAAUUCAGUGAAUCAUCGAAUCUUUGAACGCACCUUGCGCUCCUUGGUAUUCCUUGGAGCAUGCCUGUUUGAGUAUCAUGAAAUCUUCAAAGUAAAUCUUUUGUUAACUCAAUUGGUUUCUACUUUGGUAUUGGAGGUCUUUGCAGCUUCACACCUGCUCCUCUUUGUUCAUUAGCUGGAUCUCAGUGUUAUGCUUGGUUCCACUCGGCGUGAUAAGUUAUCUAUCGCUGAGGACACUGUAAAAGGUGGCCAAGGUAAAUGCAGAUGAACCGCUUCUAAUAGUUCAUUGACUUGGACAAUACUUUUAUGAUCUGAUCUCAAAUCAGGUAGGACUACCCGCUGAACUUAAGC
rnacentral:misc_RNA from 1 species